CCGAGUUCUUUGCAACUCCCAACCCUGUGAACCAUACCCAAGUUUUUGUUCUCGUUGCUUCUGGCAGGCGGCCCUCCGGGGCACGCAGGCUCCGGUGCCACGCCCGGGUGCCUGCCAGAGGCGGCCUGCUCCAACGUCUCUUUCGUACCCGACCGUCUGAGAACGAUUUUUCGCAAAUCGAAUCA
rnacentral:misc_RNA from 1 species